rnacentral:rRNA from 1 species
CAGUCGCCACGGGAAUACGUAGGGUGCAAGCGUUAAUCGGAAUUACUGGGCGUAAAGCGUGCGUAGGCGGUUUGUUAAGUCUGCUGUGAAAUCCCCGGGCUCAACCUGGGAAUGGCAGUGGAUACUGGCAAGCUAGAGUGUGUCAGAGGAUGGUGGAAUUCCCGGUGUAGCGGUGAAAUGCGUAGAGAUCGGGAGGAACAUCAGUGGCGAAGGCGGCCAUCUGGGACAACACUGACGCUGAGGCACGAAAGCGUGGGGAGCGAACAGGAUUAGAUACCCCCGUAGUCCCUGUCUCUUAUAC